rnacentral:rRNA from 1 species
CACGAAGUUAGCCGGAGCUUAUUCUCCCGGUACUGUCAUUAUCAUCCCGGGUAAAGAGCUUUACAACCCUAAGGCCUUCAUCACUCACGCGGCAUUGCUGGAUCAGGCUUUCGCCCAUUGUCCAAUAUUCCCCACUGCUGCCUCCCGUAGGAGUCUGGGCCGUGUCUCAGUCCCAGUGUGGCUGAUCAUCCUCUCAGACCAGCUAAGGAUCGUCGCCUUGGUGAGCUCUUACCUCACCAACUAGCUAAUCCUACGCGGGCUCAUCCUUGGGCGAUAAAUCUUUGGUCUUACGACAUCAUCCGGUAUUAGCAGUCAUUUCUAACUGUUAUUCCGAACCCAAGGGCAGAUUCCCACGCGUUACGCACCCGUGCGCCACUAGACCCGAAGGUCUCGUUCGACUUGCAUGUGUUAGGCAUGCCGCCAGCGUUCAUUCUGAGCCAGGAUCAAACUCU